GAUGAACGCUGGCGGCGUGCCUAAUACAUGCAAGUCGAGCGAACAGACGAGGAGCUUGCUCCUCUGACGUUAGCGGCGGACGGGUGAGUAACACGUGGAUAACCUACCUAUAAGACUGGGAUAACUUCGGGAAACCGGAGCUAAUACCGGAUAAUAUAUUGAACCGCAUGGUUCAAUAGUGAAAGACGGUUUUGCUGUCACUUAUAGAUGGAUCCGCGCCGCAUUAGCUAGUUGGUAAGGUAACGGCUUACCAAGGCAACGAUGCGUAGCCGACCUGAGAGGGUGAUCGGCCACACUGGAACUGAGACACGGUCCAGACUCCUACGGGAGGCAGCAGUAGGGAAUCUUCCGCAAUGGGCGAAAGCCUGACGGAGCAACGCCGCGUGAGUGAUGAAGGUCUUCGGAUCGUAAAACUCUGUUAUUAGGGAAGAACAAAUGUGUAAGUAACUAUGCACGUAUUGACGGUACCUAAUCAGAAGGCCACGGCUAACUACGUG
rnacentral:rRNA from 1 species